UACAGAGGUCUCAAGCGUUGUUCGGAUUCAUUGGGCGUAAAGGGUGUGUAGGUGGCGCCGUAAGUCGGGUGUGAAAUUUCGGAGCUUAACUCCGAAACUGCAUUCGAUACUGCGUGCGUUGAGGACUGGAGAGGAGACUGGAAUUCAUGGUGUAGCAGUGAAAUGCGUAGAGAUCAUGAGGAAGACCAGUGGCGAAGGCGGGUCUCUGGACAAGUUCCUGACACUGAGACACGAAGGCCAGGGGAGCAAACGGG
rnacentral:rRNA from 1 species